rnacentral:lncRNA from 1 species
AAAAAUCAAUGAAUCAAAUAUCCAAAGGAACAGAAUGACCAAGUAGCCUGAGAAAGAGAUGCAUCUCUAAAGAAAGCUUGAAGUCUUCCUAUGUUUCUCAGGAAUGCAACUAUAUUGCCACUGUACCAGAUUGGGAAAAUGACUGUCCAAGAACACUGAAACUCCCUGGUGGCAUCAGAUAGAGCUAUAGUCACUAGUUACUGUGCAUCUCUGGGGAUAAAGGAGGCUCAGAUGCUCCACAUGACUGUAAAGCAGCAGCAUCCCCGUUCCACAUGAACUUCCCAGGAUUCCUCAGUGCUCGGAUUCAGAGCAUGGUUUCCCUAGGGCAGGCAUGUCAGCUUGUCUUGGGUGUGCAAGUCUCAGUAGUGUGGGCAUUGAGGAAAUGUUCUAGCUCUUCUUCUUGUUUUGUAUUUUCAAGACAGGGUUUCUCUGUAUAGCCCCAGCUGUCCUGGAACUCAGGUUGUAGACCAGGCUGGCCUUGAACUCAGAAAUCCGCCUGCCUUUGCCUUCCCAGUGCUGGGAUUAAAGGCGUGCGCCACCACCGCCCGGUUCUAGCUCUUCUUAUGUGUUCUUGAAUGAUUCGUUUCCCUUUUAUUCUGGAUCCUGUCCAGUAGUUUGUUCUCCCCACAUGGAUUAUAAGAGUGGUUCCUUCCUUGAGUGUCUAACAUGUCUGGCUUACUUUCUUUGCUCUGGAAGAAAUCCCUGAGUUGUCUUACUUUUGCAGGAGCUACAGUGGCCCAUGUCUGCACACUCCUUCACUGCUGUACUGUCACAGAAAUCCCAGGGACUAGGCAGUACCUGGCACUUUGCAUAGGCAUCUCUCAUCCAUCUUGAAUAUGGUGCUCACACUAUUCCAGCUCCACAGAAAGUUAAACUGAAUGGCCGACCGGCUUCAGAGGAAGGAUUUAGGGCAGGUACCACUGCUGAAGCACUCACCACAGUGCCAGCACCUGCUCCUCCCCUGACUGUGUGGUCCAGCCCAUUUGAAGUCCACUGUCUGCAAUGAUGAUAACUAAGUCCUUCCUCUUCUUUAAGAGGGUACCAAGCCAUAUUUUUGUCUAUAAAAAUAUCUGGAUCAGAUACAUUGAAUAUUUAUAUUUCUUUUUUGUUGCUAUUAGAAUUUUAUUUAAAUAAAACCAUUCUUACAAAAGAGAACAUUUUUACAAAGAAGUGUUUUGUUUUUACAAAAUUUUAACUUGAAAUUUUAACAGAAAAUUUUAGCUGGCAGUACUAUCCAGCUUUGCAUUUGUUGCUAAGUCCAGGUACUAUUUUCUGGCUGGCUCUCAGUGCUAUAAGCAGGGAAGGGGCCUGACUUUGGGCUUCCAGACUGGAAUUUACUUGGAAGUGCUAUCAUUCUGUGAAAAAGGCUCCACUGAAGGUUGGCUUUACCAAGCUGAUUUCUGUCACCUUGGUGAAGCGGGACCACAGGCUACUUUGGCCUUCCUGUGUCACUGCUCUGUAGGAUGGGAAGUGUUACAAGGUAGUAGUCAGAGCUGUCUGCAAUCAUUUUCCUUCCCUUAGAGAUGAUAGUCCUAGUAGGGCAUUUUAGGAUAUGUAUUCAUAUUCCAAUUUUCCUUUUAAGUUUCCACUUUCCCCUCAAGCAUUAGCCAAGGCAUUCUCUUUAUUCCUUCAAUAAGUAACAUCCCCAUGUGCAAUUAUCACAGCCAUAUUAAAUAAAGAGUCUGAUGAUUGUACUUAAAGUUUGUAAGUGGGCUGUGGGUCUUGCUCAGUGGUAGAUCUCUUGCCUUUUAUUUGCAAGGCACUAGGUUCAAUCCCCAUUACUUCAAGAAGUAAAAAGUGCAUGUGUGCAUCAUGUUGUGUGCAUUUGAUGUUUUUGUCAAAGUUUAUCUCCCUCUUUCUGUCAUCAGCCCAGUAAUUUGAUUUGUUUUACAAAGUUCUUACCAUCAUACUCUUAUUAUUUAAGGUUUUUCUGUUACUGAGUUCCUUGACUUAGCUUUUAAACUUUCUUAAACAUACCCAAAGUGCUGUUUGUAAAGUAGGAGGGUUUAAUGAAUGUAUAGGUUGCCAAAAGAAUCAGCUCUUCACCUUUGCAGUGUCUGUUCUGUGUAGACAAAACUCUGAUUCUGUUGUUCUGCCCACAACCCGCUGGACACACUAAAGAGUAAAAUGCCCGAGCAAACCGCUGUGGGACCUUGGACACCUGCUCCAAGGUGUCUGCUCACCUGGGCUCUGCAAGCCCUACCUCACUUCUCUGAUUGAAAUCAUUCUUUCACUUCCCAUGGUAACUCCAACUGUCUCCCCGUCUGCACCAUUCUUGUAGCCAACACUAGCUGCCUUUUCAGGAGGCCAGAGACAUGGCCACUGAGAAGUAGCAUGCUUCCCUGCCUCUGUACACCUGCCUCCAUCUGUCAGAACCCUCACCUGUGUUCUGUGUAGCAUCCCUUCCAGAAACCUCUGCCUGUGCUAUGAGCAUGCUGUCUCCCUUCCAUUUACUUCCCAUCAUUACCAAAUAAAGCAAAGAAAACAAAACCAAACAAAAGUCUUCACUGAAUUCUAUGCCCAUUUCUAGGGGCUUCUUUUCUCACCUUCAGACAUCUCCAUUGUCUAUAAACACCUGUCUAAAGCGUAUCUUUCCUUUCUCUACUUUCCUCAUUGUCAGCAGACCCUGCUCCAGCCUCUCCCAUUUAUAGACUAGAUAGGUGAUCUUUGAGUUGUGAAGCCCUCAGAUGACUGCUUUUUUUUUUUUUUUUUCAACAGCUGGGAACUCCUGGGCCAAUCUCUCCCUGAAGCCCUUCUUUCUUUGUUAACUUAGUGCCACACUUUCUCUUCUCUGUGACCUUUCAACUACUCUUAGACCCUCUUCUGCAGCCCCAAAUUGCAAAUGACUGACAUCCAUGCUCUGCACUGUGUUCCCCAGACCAUCUCCUUUCAGAAUCACCUCUCUAGUUAUGGGUUCAAACCACAUAACCAGCCACAUGCUCUCAGCUUGGAUAGAGCUUGUUGACUCAAGCGGGCGUAAAUCCAAAGGGAGGAUGGACUCUUCAGUAAUGCAUUCAGCAGCUCCGAGGACAGCUCUUGCUUUGCUUAUUCUGCUACUCUGAGCAUAGGCUUAUUCUAAGGCUGCUCUCAGGGUGGGAAGGGAACCCCAGUAGUUUGGAGCAUUGCAUUCAGACCCAGU